rnacentral:rRNA from 1 species
UUAAGCGACUAAGCGUACACGGUGGAUGCCCUGGCAGUCAGAGGCGAUGAAGGACGUGCUAAUCUGCGAUAAGCGUCGGUAAGGUGAUAUGAACCGUUAUAACCGGCGAUUUCCGAAUGGGGAAACCCAGUGUGUUUCGACACACUAUCAUUAACUGAAUCCAUAGGUUAAUGAGGCGAACCGGGGGAACUGAAACAUCUAAGUACCCCGAGGAAAAGAAAUCAACCGAGAUUCCCCCAGUAGCGGCGAGCGAACGGGGAGCAGCCCAGAGCCUGAAUCAGUGUGUGUGUUAGUGGAAGCGUCUGGAAAGGCGCGCGAUACAGGGUGACAGCCCCGUACACAAAAAUGCACAUAUUGUGAGCUCGAUGAGUAGGGCGGGACACGUGGUAUCCUGUCUGAAUAUGGGGGGACCAUCCUCCAAGGCUAAAUACUCCUGACUGACCGAUAGUGAACCAGUACCGUGAGGGAAAGGCGAAAAGAACCCCGGCGAGGGGAGUGAAAAAGAACCUGAAACCGUGUACGUACAAGCAGUGGGAGCACGCUUAGGCGUGUGACUGCGUACCUUUUGUAUAAUGGGUCAGCGACUUAUAUUCUGUAGCAAGGUUAACCGAAUAGGGGAGCCGAAGGGAAACCGAGUCUUAACUGGGCGUUAAGUUGCAGGGUAUAGACCCGAAACCCGGUGAUCUAGCCAUGGGCAGGUUGAAGGUUGGGUAACACUAACUGGAGGACCGAACCGACUAAUGUUGAAAAAUUAGCGGAUGACUUGUGGCUGGGGGUGAAAGGCCAAUCAAACCGGGAGAUAGCUGGUUCUCCCCGAAAGCUAUUUAGGUAGCGCCUCGUGAAUUCAUCUCCGGGGGUAGAGCACUGUUUCGGCAAGGGGGUCAUCCCGACUUACCAACCCGAUGCAAACUGCGAAUACCGGAGAAUGUUAUCACGGGAGACACACGGCGGGUGCUAACGUCCGUCGUGAAGAGGGAAACAACCCAGACCGCCAGCUAAGGUCCCAAAGUCAUGGUUAAGUGGGAAACGAUGUGGGAAGGCCCAGACAGCCAGGAUGUUGGCUUAGAAGCAGCCAUCAUUUAAAGAAAGCGUAAUAGCUCACUGGUCGAGUCGGCCUGCGCGGAAGAUGUAACGGGGCUAAACCAUGCACCGAAGCUGCGGCAGCGACGCUUAUGCGUUGUUGGGUAGGGGAGCGUUCUGUAAGCCUGCGAAGGUGUGCUGUGAGGCAUGCUGGAGGUAUCAGAAGUGCGAAUGCUGACAUAAGUAACGAUAAAGCGGGUGAAAAGCCCGCUCGCCGGAAGACCAAGGGUUCCUGUCCAACGUUAAUCGGGGCAGGGUGAGUCGACCCCUAAGGCGAGGCCGAAAGGCGUAGUCGAUGGGAAACAGGUUAAUAUUCCUGUACUUGGUGUUACUGCGAAGGGGGGACGGAGAAGGCUAUGUUGGCCGGGCGACGGUUGUCCCGGUUUAAGCGUGUAGGCUGGUUUUCCAGGCAAAUCCGGAAAAUCAAGGCUGAGGCGUGAUGACGAGGCACUACGGUGCUGAAGCAACAAAUGCCCUGCUUCCAGGAAAAGCCUCUAAGCAUCAGGUAACAUCAAAUCGUACCCCAAACCGACACAGGUGGUCAGGUAGAGAAUACCAAGGCGCUUGAGAGAACUCGGGUGAAGGAACUAGGCAAAAUGGUGCCGUAACUUCGGGAGAAGGCACGCUGAUAUGUAGGUGAGGUCCCUCGCGGAUGGAGCUGAAAUCAGUCGAAGAUACCAGCUGGCUGCAACUGUUUAUUAAAAACACAGCACUGUGCAAACACGAAAGUGGACGUAUACGGUGUGACGCCUGCCCGGUGCCGGAAGGUUAAUUGAUGGGGUUAGCGCAAGCGAAGCUCUUGAUCGAAGCCCCGGUAAACGGCGGCCGUAACUAUAACGGUCCUAAGGUAGCGAAAUUCCUUGUCGGGUAAGUUCCGACCUGCACGAAUGGCGUAAUGAUGGCCAGGCUGUCUCCACCCGAGACUCAGUGAAAUUGAACUCGCUGUGAAGAUGCAGUGUACCCGCGGCAAGACGGAAAGACCCCGUGAACCUUUACUAUAGCUUGACACUGAACAUUGAGCCUUGAUGUGUAGGAUAGGUGGGAGGCUUAGAAGUGUGGACGCCAGUCUGCAUGGAGCCGACCUUGAAAUACCACCCUUUAAUGUUUGAUGUUCUAACGUUGACCCGUAAUCCGGGUUGCGGACAGUGUCUGGUGGGUAGUUUGACUGGGGCGGUCUCCUCCUAAAGAGUAACGGAGGAGCACGAAGGUUGGCUAAUCCUGGUCGGACAUCAGGAGGUUAGUGCAAUGGCAUAAGCCAGCUUGACUGCGAGCGUGACGGCGCGAGCAGGUGCGAAAGCAGGUCAUAGUGAUCCGGUGGUUCUGAAUGGAAGGGCCAUCGCUCAACGGAUAAAAGGUACUCCGGGGAUAACAGGCUGAUACCGCCCAAGAGUUCAUAUCGACGGCGGUGUUUGGCACCUCGAUGUCGGCUCAUCACAUCCUGGGGCUGAAGUAGGUCCCAAGGGUAUGGCUGUUCGCCAUUUAAAGUGGUACGCGAGCUGGGUUUAGAACGUCGUGAGACAGUUCGGUCCCUAUCUGCCGUGGGCGCUGGAGAACUGAGGGGGGCUGCUCCUAGUACGAGAGGACCGGAGUGGACGCAUCACUGGUGUUCGGGUUGUCAUGCCAAUGGCACUGCCCGGUAGCUAAAUGCGGAAGAGAUAAGUGCUGAAAGCAUCUAAGCACGAAACUUGCCCCGAGAUGAGUUCUCCCUGACCCUUUAAGGGUCCUGAAGGAACGUUGAAGACGACGACGUUGAUAGGCCGGGUGUGUAAGCGCAGCGAUGCGUUGAGCUAACCGGUACUAAUGAACCGUGAGGCUUAACCU